UACGUAGGUGGCAAGCGUUGUCCGGAAUUAUUGGGCGUAAAGCGCGCGCAGGCGGUCCUUUAAGUCUGAUGUGAAAGCCCACGGCUCAACCGUGGAGGGUCAUUGGAAACUGGGGGACUUGAGUGCAGGAGAGAAGAGUGGGAAUUCCACGUGUAGCGGUGAAAUGCGUAGAGAUGUGGAGGAACACCAGUGGCGAAGGCGACUUCCUGGCCUGUUCUUGACGCUGAGGCGCGAAAGCUAGGGGAGCAAACGGG
rnacentral:rRNA from 1 species